UGGGGAAUUGUUCACAAUGGGCGCAAGCCUGAUGACGCAACGCCGCGUGGAGGAUGAAGGUCUUCGGAUUGUAAACUCCUGUUGCCCGGGACGAAAAGCUUCGACCUAACACGUUGAGGUCUGACGGUACCGGGUGAGGAAGCCCCGGCCAACUCUGUACCAGCAGCCGCGGUAAUACAGAGGGGGCAAGCGUUGUUCGGAAUUACUGGGCGUAAAGGGCGCGUAGGCGGCCCGCUACGUCGAACGUGAAAUCCCUGGGCUCAACCCAGGAACUGCGUCCGAUACUGGCAGGCUUGAAUCCGGGAGAGGGAUGCGGAAUUCCAGGUGUAGCGGUGAAAUGCGUAGAUAUCUGGAGGAACACCGGUGGCGAAGGCGGCAUCCUGGACCGGUAUUGACGCUGAGGCGCGAAAGCCAGGGGAGCAAA
rnacentral:rRNA from 1 species